UUGCCUGCGCCUGCCGGCGACCGGCGCACGGGUGAGUAACACGUAUGGAACCUGCCCGCCACAGGGGGAUAACCCGGGGAAACCCCGGCCUAAUACCCCAUGCCGCCCGGACCGGGCAUCCGGUCCGGGCGAAAGGAGGAAUCCGGUGGCGGCUGGGCAUGCGGCGCAUUAGCUUGACGGCGGGGUAACGGCCCACCGUGGCGACGAUGCGUAGGGGUUCUGAGAGGAAGGCCCCCCACACUGGAACUGAGACACGGUCCAGACUCCUACGGGAGGCAGCAG
rnacentral:rRNA from 1 species